ACCAGUCGAAUAGUAAGAAUUCAGAUAUAGCAGUUAUUUUGAUUCAGGAUGACCUGUGCUAAACUAUGUUCUUCUGAAAGGCAGGAGACACAGCAAUGAGGAUGGGCUUUUGUAACAGGGCACAGGAGGAUCUAGUGGACCCUUAUUGUUUAUAUCUUCAUAUUUUACAUCUGAUUAUACUAUUUUAAAAACAGAUAUGAUGGAACAUUAGUAAAGAAUAGCCUUUGGUGUCACGUGCAGAAGUAAAACUUGAGAGUUUAAAGAAAUUAGAACUUAUCCAACUGUGCCCAUACACAUUUGCUAACAUUUGGUGUUUGCUCACAAAGGCAGCGGAUGUUCAUUGUGUCCUUUCUGUGUGUGCAGGCCUGAGCAGAGUGCUGGGGAGAUACUGAUGCACUGAGCUGCCAUGACACCCGCCUUCUCGGAGAUCAUGGUCUAGGUAGAGAUGAAAGUUGUUUUGAAAAUGACUGGCAGGUUUUAUGAUGGCAAACUCCAGGGUGCUUUGGAAGUUCUGCAGGCAGACUUGUGACAUCAUCAUUUCCCUUGCUUCGAGGAGCAUGAUUUCUCUGUGUGCUGUUCCAAUUCCCUGGAGGGUGGAAGCCCAGGGCUUGGAUUUACAUCGCGGGUGCUAUUUUUUUUUUCCAAUGUUUAUGACUUUGAGGCAGGUGUAAUCUUCACUGGUGUUAGGAUUGCUACUUUGUGCUCUUUUAAUGUAUUCAUGAUGUGCGGGGGAUAUUUUCGGGAUGUGAUCAAUUCCAGUGAGAGGGAAGGAUUCUGUGACUGGAUGUUUAGACAAGUUGCUCUUUUUCUGCAGCUGGUUUUAGUCUGCCAAAAAAUGGCACAUCUUAUAAUAUUCACAGACUACAUUACCUCUAAAUCCACAAAUAUUUCGAGAACACUAAAAAUCAAAUCCAAAUUUCUUCAUAUUAAUAGAAAAUGGCAAAGCAACAGGCAAUACACAUUCCACUGAUACAUUCAGCUGUCUUUCACACUUAGCAAUUUCCUGAAAACUAGUUCACUGGGGCCCUAAACAUAUAAUAUACUAAUGAAUUACAACUAUUUCAGUUAGCUAUCCAUUCAUUGUUGAGACGGACUGUAAAUUACUUUUUAAUUUACCCUUCUUUUCUGAUUUGUGGAGAAAAUAAUACUUGUCCGUGUUUCUUAUUCAGCUUUUUACCAGAACAUUUUUUAUUGUGGCAAGAACACUUAAAAUGACAGCUAUGCUCUUAGCAAAGUUGUAAGUGUCCAAUACUGUAUUAUUGCCUACUGGCACAUUUUUAUAGUUGUCUUCUCUGUAGUCUCAGAAUUUUCCUGUUAGCUCCUUUUUUUUUUUUUAUGAGAGAUUAGAAAAUGUUUAGCCAUAAAGCAAGAGAAAGGCAAAGGCAAAAUUAAAAUGAAAGUUUCUGGUCUGUGCCUCUUAGUAUGACCGGAAGAAUACGAUGGCUUGCUGGGAGGAGCUCUGGACCAGGAAAUACGUUAAGCAGUCCCUUAACCUGGAGUGGGUCCCAUGGAUUCUUGAGUUCUGGUUUCCCUUUGGCAAAAUGAAAUCCACCAGUGCCUGUAUUUGGAGCCAGCCACGAGGAUGUCACCAAGAAGCGAUGACAGAUUGUUUUUGCCUCACUCCAGUCCUGGAAUCAGCCAUUUCCGAGAAUCUCUGGUUUUAAUGGAGGAUGGUAUUCAGAAACCCAGAUCUGGGGACUCGAUGUGCUAUUGGGAUGGCAUUACUCAAGGACCUCUAAGAAAAUAAAAUAAGAAAGACAUGUAUGU